rnacentral:rRNA from 1 species
CCAUAUGGUCGACCUGCAGGCGGGCGCGAAUUCACUAGUGAUUCGUAUUACCGCGGCUGCUGGCACAGAGUUAGCCGGUGCUUAUUCUGUCGGUAACGUCAAAACAGCAAAGUAUUAAUUUACUGCCCUUCCUCCCAACUUAAAGUGCUUUACAAUCCGAAGACCUUCUUCACACACGCGGCAUGGCUGGAUCAGGCUUUCGCCCAUUGUCCAAUAUUCCCCACUGCUGCCUCCCGUAGGAGUCUGGACCGUGUCUCAGUUCCAGUGUGACUGAUCAUCCUCUCAGACCAGUUACGGAUCGUCGCCUUGGUGAGCCAUUACCCCACCAACUAGCUAAUCCGACCUAGGCUCAUCUGAUAGCGCAAGGCCCGAAGGUCCCCUGCUUUCUCCCGUAGGACGUAUGCGGUAUUAGCGUCCGUUUCCGAACGUUAUCCC